UACGUAGGUGGCAAGCGUUGUCCGGAUUUACUGGGCGUAAAGAGCGCGCAGGCGGUCUUCCAAGUCAGAUGUGAAAGCCCCGGGCUCAACCUGGGAACUGCAUUUGAGACUGGAGGACUAGAGUUCGGCAGGGGAGACUGGAAUUCCUGGUGUAGCGGUGAAAUGCGCAGAUAUCAGGAGGAACACCGGUGGCGAAGGCGGGUCUCUGGGCCGAUACUGACGCUGAGGAGCGAAAGCGUGGGGAGCAAACAGG
rnacentral:rRNA from 1 species